UUGGCGAGAUUUGCGCCGGCGAAACGGAAAAGUAGCUUUUUUUUUUUGUCACUGUCCAAUCUGGAUUGAAUAGGACUUCUGGAAUUCUAAUCUGGAAGGUUUUGCGGUCUACCCAACUCAAGCGAAGUUUGAUUCUAUUUCGGAAAUUUAAUACAGUCUGUUGAAAAUAAGAAUCAGAAACACCCAGAUUAGUACAAGUCGCCCAAGCCACUAUACUGUUAUAGAGGAUGACAAUAAUUUUACUGCUGAUGAUUUGCAGAAGCUAACAUAUUAUUUGUGCCACACGUAUGUUCGAUGUACUAAAAGUAUAUCUACACCAGCUCCUGUUCAGUAUGCACAUUUAGCAGCAUAUCGUGCACGACAGCAUCUUGUAUCACAAAUAGAGGAGUCUACAACUAGCAGUGAUACUUCAACUCCUGGUGCUUUUCAUGCUUUACCAGAAUCAGUUAUCAAUGCUAUAAAGGUUGUAGAUGGACUUAAAGAUGCUAUGUACUUUGUCUAAUUUUCCCUCUUUCUUUUUUUAGUAUUAGUGACCAUAAGAUAUUAUCUGUAUAACAUUUUAUGUCCAUUUUAAAUAAUUCCAAAUGUUAAGUUUGAUGAAGGAGAAAAUGUGUAUGAAAGUUAAAUAUACAUAUGUUUUCUCGUUUUUAUUGAAAAACAUUGUUAUUUCACUUACUGGAGUUUUAGUUAUGAUCUAUGUGAUAUCUUGAAAGGAAUAAUGGCAUUAUUUUCAUUACUAUAGCUUUCAAAAUAUCUGUUUGUGAAGAAAAGCUGUAAAGGAAAAGGAAAUUUAUAUUAGUAUCUGAUUAAUGAAACAUAUAUGAUAAGAUUUCAGUAAAUGAGUGAAAUUUUUUUAUUUUGUAUCACAGAAUCUCUUUCUCAUUAUAUAUAUAUAUAUAUAUGUCUGUCAGUCUUGCAUUACUUUCUAAUUACCCUGACAGACUUCAUUUCUAUAUUUUUUAUUUAUUUUACUUUAACUAAUCACAGUCGUCUAAAAUGCAUUAUCUUUUUAAGCCAUUUUAUUGCCAAGAAAAAAACAUUUUUUUUUAAUAAGCAUGAAGUUGAUUUCAUGUUUCAUUCUAGAUUAAAAUAAAUAUAUUUUAUCGUGUAAAAAUGCAAAAAGCUUUGACGCACUACAAAAAUGCAACAUUAUCACAGUCCCUUUUGCAAAGUAAUGUAAGGACAGUAAAAUAUUUCUUAAGCAAUGAAACUUUUUACUAGCUGUGAGUAAUUAUUAACUGAUUGCUGCAGUUGGAAAUUUUCCUUUCAUUUUCAGAACUUUCUCAAUUAUACAAUCUAUAUUAUGAAUUUUAAUUGCAUUUGUAGGUUAGGAGACUGCCUUUUGUCUUCAUUCUGUAAAGUGAAUUUCCUUUCUGUGAGAUUACCGAUAUAUGAUUUCAGAAAAGAUACAGAAACUGCUGCUUGAAAUUCUGCAAGUGUGAUUUUAAGAUAAAACUGCAUGUGUCUCUUCUUCACAUGUAAAGUCUGUAAAUAAUGGUUGUCAGCACUUUGAUUACUUCAAUAUUUAUUCUAGUGGCAACACAUUUACCAAAGAGAUAGCUAUCCAUGUUCGUAUCACACGGGGGUACCCAAUAAGUAGGUUACGAAUGACUACAAAAAUAAAAAUGCUUAAUGCAGCAAUCAGUUUCAUUUUACUAUGUGAUGCAUACUUAUAACUGAUUCUCUUAUACCAACCAUGCAUGAGGGGCUUAAUAUCUGUUGCAUCAGAGUCUGAAUUGUUCUUGCAACUAUAGAUGGACCUCUUGUUUAGUAUCUACAUCAUCCAUAAAAUAUGUAUCUUCAAGGCAACCUUUGAAGAGACCGAAGCUGUAACAUUGCAUUGCAGUAUAAUGCACGAGUCACAUUUGCUUUUUGUCUUUUGAAAAUCUCCUGCAGUGUUCUGCAAGAAAAUUCAAGCUGAGUUUUGCAUUUAGAGUGGUAAACUUACACUUGUAUGACCAAUGGUGAAAUUCUAAUGUCUUUCCCUCAUGUACCUGUACUUACCAAUCAUAGUUGUCUUGUUGUCCGAGUCUGUACAAAGGGUAAUACUGUUUCUGCCUGCUGAAAGCUUUAAAGAUACCCUGUUACUAUUUCUUAUUCCACAGCAGUAUGUAACCUAUUUGUUGCUUUUCCUUCUUAAUUUAUGAUGAGUUAUAGUUCUGGAAUUUGAGGGAGUUUUUGUAAUUCUGCAACAUUUUCAGUACUGAAAUGGAAAAUUGAAAUUUGUUGUUUUAAUAGAUAUUUUUCAUAUUGUUCAGCCACAUAUUCAGACAGAUUUUUAUUAAACAUCUGUAGAAAUAUCAGCAUUGGCAGAGUUAGAUUUAGACAAGGCCCUAAGCUAUUUGAGAUAUAGGGCCCUUUAUAAAUUUGUAUUUUAAUUUUGGGGGGACCCUAAGCUAUAGCUUGUGUAACUUAUAUGUAAAUCCUGCACUGAGCAUUAAUGAAAUAUGUAAUGUGAAUUUGAGCCAGUUCCGUAAAGAAAGUUCUCCACUAAGGCAUCGCUUCUAUUACAUAGAUAAUUCUUGACUUUCACCUUAAUCAACUAACAUGACCUUCAAUUAAUGAAAGAUUUUGUUUGUUCAGUAAAUGAAAGGUUCCCGCCCCCCUUUGUUUUUAUUUGAACAUCGCAAAACAUAAGCAAGCUACCUGCCUAAGGAAGGAAUCACUUUGUGGAAGCUUUUCUAAGAGAAAUUAGCUGAUAUUUAUGUAAUACAUGAGCAGGAAAUUAUGAAAAUGCACUUGCAGCGGCCCAUUAACUGGAAAUUGAACCUGGAAUAAACCACCACUGUUCAGCACUCUUAUUCUGUCUGGAUGGUAAACUCAUGGUAUUUAAAAUGUAGUAAAAUUUCUUACUUUUCAUAAAGUUCUCUACACAUUUUGCUUUUUUAAGCAAGGAAUUUUCUCCUUUUUUAUUGUUUUGGAUGCACUUUUUUUUAUAAAGCUUAUGAGCAAUCAUUUUAGACAAAACUGCAACAUUGCACUAUGUAUCAUUGUUGAGAAUUCAUUUAAAAUAAAAUAUGAUAACCAAUUUUCUUCAUUUAUAUCAACAUUUAUAUUAAUGCAAAAAUAAUUAUACAAAUAUGGUUGAUUUCGUUUUCAUCAUCCUUGAGAUAAUUAAGAAAAAUAAUCACCAUUCAAUUUAUUAGGUUAUGCAAGAAUUUGUUUAAAUGUCAAAUAUAGUUUUAUAACGUUUGGAUGAUUAUUUAAAGAUACUAAUCAUUUAGUUGUAUAAACAAAAUUUUCUUUUUGUUUUAUGAUAUUUGAUAAUAAUUUUGCAAUUUUUCAUAAAUUAAUAAGUAAAUACUAACAACAAAAUCUAAGCAGUUAAUUUGAACAUCACAUUUUGUUGCAAACAAUGAAAAUAUUAUAUUUCAUUUUUUACACAGGUGAUAUUUUGUGUAAGAAUGCCAUACAAUCAAUAACAUUUAAACUAUAAUAACACUGCAGUUUAAAAAAAUGAAAUUGAUGAAAUCUAGUCUUAUUACUGAAUAUAAACAGAUAUUUUCCAGUAUUUAUUGUCAGUUAAAUGUUGUGCAAAUGUAAGAUCAAGGGAAAAUUAAUUUAUGCUUUAUAUGUAAAUAUUAGAGUUUUUUCUGUCAAUAUAUAUAUAUGUGAUAAAAAGACUUUAAAGUGACAUCUGUGGCCACAAUUCACUUGGCACUCAAGUCGUGCCUAUUUCCAGAACAUUUAUAUUUUUGAUAAUGCUGCGACGGGAUGAGAGCUUAGCGAAAUUGCAUCCAAGCAGCACAGAAGUUGAAGUGAAGUGCGCGUUUAUCUAGUAUGGAAAAUCGCCAAGAGGAGAGUUUUGGUUUAGGUCAGAAAGGUUUUAGUUCUCAAAAUUUUUAGUUUAGGUUCUUAAUUACCCACAUAAUCAGCAUUGCUCAGGCCAUGCAAGAUGGAAUCUAGAAGUGAUGCAAUCCAGAUGAGUUAUUACAAUUUAUAGAAUAGAGAGGAAGAAUUAAGAGGUCACUUAGUUUAAAUUAUAAUUUUGAUUUACAUUUUUCUAUAUUACGUAUGUAUAUAUAAGAUAAAAAUAUGUAAAUUAGUUUUAUAAUUUCAUUUUUAAUUUGAUUAUUUCCUCUUUAUUCUAAAAAAAAUUAAUAACAAUUCUGGAUUGUGUCAUUUCUAGCCAUCUUGCAAGGCCUGGGCAACACUGAUGAUGUGGGUAAUUCGGGACCUAAACUCAAAAUUUUGAGAACAAAAACCUUUCUAACCUAAACCAAAACCUUCGUCUUAGCGAUCUUCCAUAUUGGAUGAAUGCGUGACUUUUAGCUUCAACUUCUGUGCUACUUGGACAUAAAUUCGCUGUGCUGUCAUGCUGCUUGGAUGCUGUUUGCAUGUGCUCUUUUUCUAUUGUAACAGUAUCAAAAAUGUAAAUGUCUAAAUAAAUAUGCCAAGUUGUUUGUGGCCAUAACAUGUUCACUGAAAAUAAAAUGAAGAUUUAAUCUGC
rnacentral:lncRNA from 1 species